UAGCGUUCAGUAUAAACGGUAUAAACUGAAUACCGAACCGAAAUACCGGUUAACCGAACUCUCGGUUUUCUAAUUUUUUGAGUCAUCUUCGUUUAGCAUUUUCUCUAACCGAAAUGUACAAACCGAACUUUCGGUUUAUACCGAAUGCCCAGGCCUACUGCACCAACCGUCUCACUCCACCCACCACUGUUUGUCUCAAAAAAAACACCCAACCCUCGAUCCAGAUCCCUUCCACUUCUCCCGAUUCACCCCUCGUCUCCCUCCCAUCCCAUGCCGCCGCCGCCGCCCACCACCUCCCCGACCCCACCGGCGAUCCCCAGCCUCUCCUUCUCCCCUGCAUCCGUCGCCCGCACCUUCCCUCCCAGUCCCAGAUCAACCCGUGGGUGAGCCGGCGGCCAGGACACACGCGAAGCGACGGAGGUCGCCUGCGUCUCCCCAAUCGCCCUGCCACUGCUUCCUUCCUUUUCUCUGCGGCAGGAGAAGAAAACCUUGUCGGGGUGCCCAAGCCAUGGAGCACCAUCGUCAAGUGCAGAAGAAGAAAACCCUAGACCGACCCGAGGAUUCGUCCGACAACCACCUGAGGAGGAAGCAAGCCAUGGACGGACCUUCCUUUCCUUGAAUGUUGCGUCCUCCCACCCAUCUUCCUGCAGCUGCAGGAAUAAAUGAUCAGCUAAAGAAGCAUAUUCCUAUGUUCAGCAACAUCACAGGUUCAGCAACAUCAGGCUGCAUGCUACGCUGCACAGCGCAAAGAGACGGCACAAAUUCUCGCAGAGAGAAGAAAAAGAGACUGCACAGUGCAACAAGGUCCUUUGGUCUUUGGUCUCUCAAUUUUUAUACAUGGCAAUGGAUAAAAUCUACUCUGGAGAGUUGACAGAGGGAGCACAUGCUAAGUUGACUUUUUCCUAGGGACUUGCUUAUCGUGAAGAUGCUUGCAAGGAUGUAGAGGGAGCGGAUCAUUUGGAGAGAUGCCGUUGUUUGGUGUUUUUAUGCAUUUUGGUUUGCUUGUAACUGUGUUUGCACUAGCUGGGAGUAAGUGACUUGGCAAGAAGUGUAGGUGUUUUAAUUGAAGGCUUGAAAACCAUGACAAUUCUGUAUGCUCUUACAGGAUGUGCUCUAAUGCCGCUGGUUUAUUAUAAAUCUUGCAUUAGUAAUGA